AUUACUACAGUGACUUGCAAGCAACUCACUGUACUUUAGUAUCAAAUUAACUGAGUUUCUAAUUCAGUGAUAAAAGAUUUUUGGGUACAGUCAAGUACUUGUUAAGUAGUGCGUGAGUCAAGAUGGGAUUGACCCUUCCAAAUUAGUAGAAGUUAAUGUAUCGAUGUAUUUCAAUUUAGCAAAAUUUGGGCCUGAAUAAUCCAUGUGAUGGAUU
rnacentral:lncRNA from 1 species